rnacentral:tRNA from 1 species
AGAAACUUAGGUUAAACCAAACCAGAGGCCUUCAAAGCCUCAAAUAGGGCUCACACCCUAGUUUCUG